ensembl:misc_RNA 7SK 7SK RNA
GGGUGUGAGGGUGAUCUGGCUAUGACAUCUGCCACCUCACUGAUCACCAGGGGAGAUCUGGCUGGUGAGGCGGGUGUCCCCCUGCCCUGUCCCCGCUCCAUGUGUGUCCCUCCCAAGGGCUGCUCGCUGCAUCCAGGAGGGUGAGUGUUCCCGAAAGUGGAUAGUCUUUGGUCAGGAGCAUGCCAGUGCCUGUGCUUUCCUGCCGGAGCCCCCACACAGACCGUCAGGGUCCCUUUGUGGAAAGAAAGGAGGACAGUCAAACUUGGAGCUUCUGUGCGUGGCUGUCUGCCUUUCUGA